CUCCGCGCGCUACUUGGAGUCGCGUCCACACUACGCCAGAAAAACAAAAGGCAUCGGCCUCGCCAACGAAUGGGGUUGCUGACACGCUGCAGAAACCCAAGCUGGGCGGAAAACGGAACCGGACCGACUGCUGCACCUCCCGCGUUUGCGCCGAUCGCCUCCAGGGACCCUCGGUUGCUCCGCAAGGUCUCAGGAGGUGGCACUUCCUUCAUUCAGCCCCCUGCCUACUCAGGAGUUUUGCAGCUGUAAUGGCUGUUAGCUGGUGAACUGGGAGAUCUUCGAAAGGAAGGAAUACUAAAUUCAUCAGGCUGGAAGAGGACAUGAAAAAGAGUCGCAGUUUCCUUGCUGUGACUACAGAUGAGAAGCCCAAGGACACAUUGGACCCCAGCUGGUGCAGCCGUUCUUAUACCUCCUCCAGCAUGUUGGGCACUGAUUUACGCCGGGGACGGAGACGCCUCUCCUCCAGCCUGCAGGUCCCUCCAUGGAAACCCAUAGACAGAGCACGCUCGCCAGAGCCAGACAACGUCCAAAGGCCAACCACUCUGCCGCUACGCAUCCCUCCCCGAAUUUCUAUCACCCAUGCU